AUAUGCUUAAACGCCCGACUUUAUGGAAGGGUGGUAUUUAUUAGACUGAAGCCAAUAUUCCUUGUGUCUAUUGCGGUGAUUCAUAAUAACUGAUCGAAUCUCUUUUUGAGAUAAAUCAUUCAAGUUUCUGCCCUAUCAGCUUUCGAUGGUAGUGUAUUGGACUACCAUGGCAGUAACGGGUAACGAAGAAUUAGGGUUCGAUUUCGGAGAGGGAGCAUGAGAAACGGCUACCACAUCUAAGGAAGGCAGCAGGCGCGUAAAUUACCCAAUCCUGACUCAGGGAGGUAGUGACAAGAAAUAGCAAACCGGGAACCUCAUGGUUUCACGGUAUUGCAAUGAGAACAAUUUAAAACCCUUAGCGAGAAUCAAGUGGAGGACAAGUCUGGUGCCAGCACCCGCGGUAAUUCCAGCUCCACUAGCGUAUAUUAAAGUUGUUGCAGUUAAAAAGCUCGUAGUUGAACCUCUGUCUGGGGCUAGUUUUGGCUUUGGUCAGGCUAGUUCUAGGCAUCCGCCUACAAGACUUAGAGGGCAUUCAGUUGUUCACUAGGAGGAGUAGGCAUUUUACUUUGAAAAAAUUAGAGUGUUUAAGGCAGGCAAUCGCCCGCAUAUAUUAGCAUGGAAUAAUAGAAUAGGACACUUUUCCAUUUCGUUGGUUAUUGGAAUCGUGUAAUGAUUAAUAGGGACAGUUGUGGGCAUUUGUAUUUAAUUGUCAGAGGUGAAAUUCUUGGAUUUAUUAAAGACAAACUAACGCGAAAGCAUUUGCCAAGGAUGUUUUCAUUAAUCAAGAACGAAAGUUAGGGGAUCAAAGACGAUCAGAUACCGUCCUAGUCUUAACUAUAAACUAUUCCGACUCAAUGUUUGACUGGCUUAUAUAACCAGUUGAGCGUUGUAUGAGAAAUCAAAGUCUUUAGGUUCUGGGGGGAGUAUGGUUGCAAAGCUGAAACUUAAAGGAAUUGACGGAAGAGCACAACCAGGAGUGGAUUCUGCGGCUUAAUUUGACUCAACACGGGGAAACUUACCAGGUUAAAACAAUAGUGGGAUUGACAGUUUGAGAGCGCUUUCUUGAUUGGUUGGGUGGUGGUGCAUGGCCGUUCUUAGUUGGUGGAGUGAUUUGUCUGCUUAAUUGCGUUAACGAACGAGACCUUAACCUGCUUACUAGACUGGCGAUCAUCAAUCGUUAGCUCUUCUUAGAGGGACUUUGGUUGUUUUAACUCCAAGGAAGUUUGAGGCAAUAACAGGUCUGUGAUGCCCUUAGAUAUCCUGGGCCGCACGCGUCAUACAAUGACUAGUUCAGAAAGUUUUCUCCUGACCCGAAAGGGGAUGGGUAAUCUUGAUAAUAC
rnacentral:rRNA from 1 species